rnacentral:rRNA from 1 species
UACGUAGGGUGCGAGCGUUGUCCGGAAUUAUUGGGCGUAAAAAGCUCGUAGGCGGUUUGUCGCGUCUGCUGUGAAAACUGGAGGCUCAACCUCCAGCCUGCAGUGGGUACGGGCAGACUAGAGUGCGGUAGGGGAGAUUGGAAUUCCUGGUGUAGCGGUGGAAUGCGCAGAUAUCAGGAGGAACACCGAUGGCGAAGGCAGAUCUCUGGGCCGUAACUGACGCUGAGGAGCGAAAGCAUGGGGAGCGAACAGG